rnacentral:rRNA from 1 species
UACGUAGGGUGCAAGCGUUAAUCGGAAUUACUGGGCGUAAAGCGUGCGCAGGCGGUGAUGUAAGACAGAUGUGAAAUCCCCGGGCUCAACCUGGGAACUGCAUUUGUGACUGCAUCGCUGGAGUGCGGCAGAGGGGGAUGGAAUUCCGCGUGUAGCAGUGAAAUGCGUAGAUAUGUGGAGGAAUACCGAUGGCGAAGGCAGCCUCCUGGGCCAACACUGACGCUCAUGCACGAAAGCGUGGGGAGCAACAGG